rnacentral:rRNA from 1 species
CCUACGGGAGGCAGCAGUAGGGAAUAUUGCUCAAUGGGGGAAACCCUGAAGCAGCAACGCCGCGUGGAGGAUGAAGGUUUUCGGAUUGUAAACUCCUUUUGAUAGAGAAGAUAAUGACGGUAUCUAACGAAUAAGCACCGUCUAACUCGGUGCCAGCAGCCGCGGUAAUACGGAGGCUGCAAGCGUUACUCGGAAUCACUGGGCGUAAAGAGCGCGUAGGCGGGAUAGCAAGUCAGAUGUGAAAUCCUAUGGCUUAACCAUAGAACUGCAUUUGAAACUGUUAUUCUAGAGUAUGGGAGAGGUAGGUGGAAUGCUUGGUGUAGGGGUAAAAUCCGUAGAGAUCAAGAGGAAUACUCAUUGCGAAGGCGACCUGCUAGAACAUAACUGACGCUGAUGCGCGAAAGCGUGGGGAGCGAACAGGAUUAGAUACCCCGGUAGUC